rnacentral:rRNA from 1 species
AACGAACGCUGGCGGCAUGCCUAACACAUGCAAGUCGAACGGGAUCCUGGCUUCGGUCAGGUGAGAGUGGCGGACGGGUGAGUAACGCGUGGGAACCUGCCCAGUGGUGGGGGAUAACUGCGGGAAACUGCAGCUAAUACCGCAUGAGCCCGAGAGGGGAAAGAUUUAUCGCCAUUGGAGGGGCCCGCGUUCGAUUAGGUAGUUGGUGAGGUAACGGCUCACCAAGCCGACGAUCGAUAGCUGGUCUGAGAGGAUGAUCAGCCACACUGGGACUGAGAUACGGCCCAGACUCCUACGGGAGGCAGCAGUGGGGGAAUAUUGGACAAUGGGGGGCAACCCUGAUCCAGCAAUGCCGCGUGAGUGAUGAAGGCCUUCGGUUGUAAAGGCUCUUUUGUCCGGGGACGAGUGAUGACGGUACCCGGAG